rnacentral:rRNA from 1 species
GAGUGGGGGAUAACGGCCGGAAACGGACGCUAAUACGGCAUACGUCCUACGGGAGAAAGCGGGGGACCUUCGGGCCUUGCGCUAUCAGAUGAGCCUAGGUCGGAUUAGCGAGUUGGUGGGGUAAUGGCUCACCAAGGCGAGCGAUCCGUAACUGGUCUGAGAGGGAUGAUCAGUCACACUGGAAGUGAGACACGGUCCACCCUCCUACGGGAGGCAGCAGUGGGGAAUAUUGGACAAUGGGCGAAAGCGUGAUCC